GACGAACGCUGGCGGCGUGCUUAACACAUGCAAGUCGAACGGUGAAGCGCCUUCCUUUUUGGUGGGUGUGGAUGAGCGGCGAACGGGUGAGUAACACGUGAGUAACCUUCCCCCUCCUUCUGGAUAACCGCAUGAAAGUGUGGCUAAUACGGGAUAUAUUGGGUCUGUCGCAUGAUUGGUCUGGGAAAGAUAUUGUUUCGGUGGAGGAUGGGCUCGCGGCCUAUCAGCUUGUUGGUGAGGUGAUGGCCUACCAAGGCGGCGACGGGUAGCCGGCCUGAGAGAGUGGACGCUCAGGCUGGGAGUGAGGCUCGAGCCAGCCACGUGAGGGAGGAGGCGGGAAGGAAUCGUGAAGGGCGGGAGCAAGCCGGAUGCAGGGACGGCGAGUGAGGAAUGGAUGCGUUCGGGUUGUGAAUCUUUUUCGGGAGUGAAGAAGGCCUGCGUCGUUUGUGGGUGGUUGGACGGUAGCUAGCUAAGAAGCACCGGCUAAUUACGU
rnacentral:rRNA from 1 species